rnacentral:rRNA from 1 species
UACGUAGGGCGCAAGCGUUGUCCGGAAUUAUUGGGCGUAAAGAGCUCGUAGGCGGCUUGUCACGUCGGGUGUGAAAGCCCGGGGCUUAACCCCGGGUCUGCAUUCGAUACGGGCUAGCUAGAGUGUGGUAGGGGAGAUCGGAAUUCCUGGUGUAGCGGUGAAAUGCGCAGAUAUCAGGAGGAACACCGAUGGCGAAGGCAGGUCUCUGGGCAUUAACUGACGCUGAGGAGCGAAAGCGUGGGGAGCGAACAGG